CUACAUUGUUACCUUAGGAUUAUCCAUUUUUCCUAAAAUCAAACGUGUGAAUUUAUUUGGAGAUGGCAAUUACUUAGAUAGCACUACACAUUGAUAAGGUAUCGAUAUAUCCCAUUGUAGAUUUUAGCAGGCAACAAGAGUAUUGCACGCGUGCAUAUACGUGAGAACAAAGGAUUGUAAGUGUGUAGAAGUGGGUAAUUGGUAAACCAAUUGCAAUUUAUAUAAAUACAUAUAUGUUAGAUAGCAGAGAACGGAGAGGAAGAAAAAAAAUGCAAAAUGGAACUUCAUAUAGAGAGGCAUCAUUCCGGCUGAAGGUUCGAAGCGUAUAGCUGGAGACAAUAGAAUGGGACCUAAUUAUUUAUAUCCAUAGUCAUUCAUGAAGUAAAAGACCUUAUUGCUUUUGUCCAAUGUCCGUCUUUCCGGCCUUGUACAUAUCUUGCAUUACAUUUUUAUAAUUAUCACCUUAAUAUGGAACGUUAGUUACCGUAAAGUUUCUCUACAGAUCGACUUAAAAUAUAU